rnacentral:rRNA from 1 species
UAGUAAUCGCAGAUCAGCAUGCUGCGGUGAAUACGUUCCCGGGUCUUGUACACACCGCCCGUCACACCAUGGGAGCCGGGAAUGCCCGAAGUCAGCAGCCCAACCGAAAGGGGGAGCUGCCGAAGGCAGGCCUGGUGACUGGGGUGAAGUCGUAACAAGGUAAC